GAGCUUGAGAAGGAAUCAGAUUCUGCAUAUAUUUCCAAGUUAACAUGAACAAGAUUUUCUGAAAGACUGCUAUGGAGUCUGAGAAAAAAUGUCAAAGAUUGAGGACAUGAAGAGGAAAGAACUGACAGAGGAGGUGAAGAAAGGUGAUCAGGAAGAGCCAUCAAAGUGUUAUCCUGGAAUUCAAGUGAAGACAGUGUUUCAAAGUGGAAAUGAACAGUGUCCUGUAACCCUCAGAGUGAGACUAGAGUCAGAAUGCAAGCUUUUCUCAUUUGAAAUCUAUUGAAUAAACAUCAGUAAAAGAAGCAAUCCAAGUUCUCAUGCCAAAUAUGUAUAUGUCCAAGACCAGGAUUUCUUCAUGUCUGAAUGUGGAUAUGGAGCCUAGAGUACUAGCAGGGUAAGUCCAGGUCCUUACCUCCACCUAAAAGUUCUGCCAUCAAGGAACAUCUGCUCAUUAUCUUCUGUCCACACAUCAAAUGACUUCAAUGUGAUCCCUGGAUGUUCUCCAAAGAGCUGAAAGGAAAUAAAUAUUCUUUCUUUAUCACCAAAUACUUCAAAUGCAGAGUGGUUGUGCUACCAAGGCCUGAAACUUCGGAAAAACCUGCAUAACACAAAAUAUAUAUGCCACAGAGAGGAUCCAGAGAGCUCAUCUCCGGUCAGUUAUCUGUAUUUGCAUGUCAACUACAGCAUCAAAAAGCAUAGGCAUGGAUACUAAGGACCCCCUCUGUACACCAACGCCAGUCCAAAGGAUAGUGUGUCACUGUGAACUGGAAAUUCAUCUCUCUUCUUCAUUUUUUUUCUACCUACUUUAUGCUUUAUCUCUAAGUUGAGGCUGUUUAUGGCCUCAUCCUCAAUUACCUUGUCCCUC
rnacentral:lncRNA from 1 species